AAGGGCCGCGGUAUUUUGACCGUGCGAAGGUAGCAUAAUAAUUAGUCUCCUAAUUAGAGGCUUGUAUGAAUGGUUGGACAAGAUGGAAACUGUCUCAAUACAAUAAAUAAAAUUUAAUAUUUAAGUAAAAAAGCUUAAAUAAUAUGGAGGGACGAUAAGACCCUAUAAAGCUUUAUAAUGUUUUUCUUUUUUAUAAAUUGUUCUGUUAUUAACAUAUUUUAGAUUAUAUAUUAUUUUACUGGGGCGGUAAAAGUAUAAUAAAGAUUAACUGCUUUUAUUUUGUAUAACAACUGUAAUUGGUAAUAAAUUGAUCCAUUAUUAAUGAUUAUAAAAACAAGUUACUUUAGGGAUAACAGCGUAAUUUUUUUUGAGAGUUCUUAUCGAAAAAAAAGUUUGCGACCUCGAUGUUGAAUUAAGGGUGCCUUAAGGUGCAGCAGUUUUA
rnacentral:rRNA from 1 species